AUUGAACGCUGGCGGCAGGCCUAACACAUGCAAGUCGAACGAGUGGCGGACGGGUGAGUAAUGUCUGGGAAACUGCCUGAUGGAGGGGGAUAACUACUGGAAACGGUAGCUAAUACCGCAUACCAUCAGAUGUGCCCAGAUGGGCUUGGCUAGUUGGUGGGGUAACGGCUCACCAAGGCGACGAUCCCUAGCUGGUCUGAGAGGAUGACCAGCCACACGGGAGCUGGGACCAGGUCCAGACUCCUACGGGAGGCAGCAGGGGGGAAUAUUGGAGAAGGGGCGAAAGCCUGAUGCAGCCAUGCCGCGUGUAUGAAGAAGGCCUUCGGGGUGUAAAGUACUUUCAGCGGGGAGGCGUUACCCGCAGAAGAAGCACCGGCUAACUCCGUGCCAGCAGCCGCGGUAAUU
rnacentral:rRNA from 1 species